GGGAGGGUGUGGGUGACCAGUCACAUUCCCCAGCAGUGCUCGGUGUCUGUGACAGCCUGCCCAAGGCUGUCCCAGGCUGGGUCAGGGGCUGCAGCCGGCAGCCCCAGGCAAAUCUCCAACACGGGGGUUCCUCUACCACAGCCUGGCUGGAGGCGGUAUGGUCAAGCUGGCCAGAGACCACAAGCCCUCUGCCCCUGCUCUCUAAGCAAAGCUGAGGAAGCUACAUUUUCCUGCAGCGGCCUUUGCACACCAGUGGCUGCCAGGGUCAUCCAUGAGAGAAAUACGAUCUUCUCCCCCUGGGGAAGUUCACCACCUUCCCCAGAAGAUGUCUGCCAACAGAUUUGCAUUUUCAUGGUCACCACCAACAAGAAGCUCCUGCUCAUUUGUCUCUGUAACCCUGGAGCCUGAAGUGACAAGCCACCAGCUUUCCAUUUUUAUAUGUUACAGGAAAUAUCACAGAGGGAAGUGGGUCUGAAAAUGUUUUCCUGUAAAGCUGCAGAAGUAGGCAUGCUGCAUUGCAGCAUCUCACACUAACUUCCUCACGCUUGGCCUUCGGUCACUGACCCACACUGGGGAACAGAUUUUGUCUACGUCAGUUCAGGUGGACCCCAGCCUCACUCUCCCUUGCUGUCUGCAGUCUCCUCUCCCCCUCUCCUCCAGUCUUUCCUCCCCAGUCCUCAACCCAGCAAGAACAAGCCCUUUCACAUGCUUAUGUGCAGCAACUUAGCUGUCACUUCUGUGACUUGGACUGCUGCAUACACCUUCCAUCAUGUGUGGCUCCAGAGAGCUGCUCCUGCAAAAGGGAUUCUGUUACUGGAGGUACUGGAGGUUGCAAUCACCACUUUGACACUCCCCUCACAUUCGUCUGCUUUAUUCUACUCCAUGACGGCAAGGUGUCAUGGGGUGAGCUGGGCAACCCUGAGGAUCCCCACCCAGUAUUCAGCUGUGUAUUUGAACGGGCACCCUGACUUCCAUGUCAAAGGGAUAAGUCUCCUGAGAACCAUUCAGGUCAAGUGAAAGGGAAGGCUGGUGCUCAGGUCAGGUAAGCCUGCG